rnacentral:lncRNA from 1 species
UAUUAUCAGAAACUUGAUUGACAUUAGCAAUUUUCUGAUCUCUCCUAGGUUUAGGACACACAUUAGAAAAAUGGUUUGGAUCACCACAAUUAUAACACUUCCUAGGAGUAUUUGGUUUCACAUUAUACUUUCCAUUCCACUUGCCCUUUUUCUUGUUUUGAAAAUUUGAAGAACUUUGAGCAUUUUGAUUGAAAGCCGGGUUUUUGUUUUGAAAACGAUUUUGUUGCUUCCCUUUCACAAAGUUCACCUCACCAAAAGAUUUGUUGCUCUUGUUCACUUUUAAAUCCAACUCCUUACUUUUCAAAGCAUUUAUA